rnacentral:rRNA from 1 species
AUUGAACGCUGGCGGAAUGCUUUACACAUGCAAGUCGAACGGCAGCACGGACUUCGGUCUGGUGGCGAGUGGCGAACGGGUGAGUAACAUAUCGGAACGUAUCCAAUAAUGGGGGAUAACGAGUCGAAAGAUUCGCUAAUACCGCAUACGCCCUACGGGGGAAAGCUGGGGACCUUCGGGCCUGGCGUUAAUGGAGCGGCCGAUAUCUGAUUAGCUAGUUGGUAAGGUCAAGGCCCACCAAGGCGACGAUCAGUAGCUGGUCUGAGAGGACGACCAGCCACACUGGAACUGAGACACGGACCAGACUCCUACGGGAGGCAGCAGUGGGGAAUUUUGGACAAUGGGCGCAAGCCUGAUCCAGCCAUGCCGCGUGAGUGAAGAAGGCCUUCGGGUUGUAAAGCUCUUUCGCAAGGGAAGAAAACUUAGCCACUAACAUUGGUUGAGGUUGACGGUACCUUGAUAAGAAGCACCGGCUAACUACGUGCCAGCCGCCGCAGUAA